rnacentral:rRNA from 1 species
UACGGAGGGAGCUAGCGUUGUUCGGAAUUACUGGGCGUAAAGCGCACGUAGGCGGCGACUCAAGUCAGAGGUGAAAGCCCGGGGCUCAACCCCGGAACUGCCUUUGAAACUAGGUUGCUAGAAUCCUGGAGAGGUGAGUGGAAUUCCGAGUGUAGAGGUGAAAUUCGUAGAUAUUCGGAAGAACACCAGUGGCGAAGGCGGCUCACUGGCCCGAUACUGACGCUGAGGUGCGAAAGCGUGGGGAGCAAACAGG